GUGAGGAAUAUUGGUCAAUGGGCGCAAGCCUGAACCAGCCAUCCCGCGUGCAGGAAGACGGCGCUAUGCGUUGUAAACUGCUUUUCCAGGGAGAGAAACUUGCGCACGUGUUGCGCAAUUGACGGUACCCUGGGAAUAAGCAUCGGCUAACUCCGUGCCAGCAGCCGCGGUAAUACGGAGGAUGCGAGCGUUAUCCGGAUUCAUUGGGUUUAAAGGGUGCGUAGGCGGACUAUUAAGUCAGUGGUGAUAUCCUGCAGCUUAACUGCAGAACUGCCAUUGAUACUGAUAGCCUUGAGUUUGGUUAAGGUAGGCGGAAUGUGUAAUGUAGCGGUGAAAUGCUUAGAUAUUACACAGAACACCAAUUGCGUAGGCAGCUUACUGAGCCGACACUGACGCUGAGGCACGAAAGCGUGGGGAUCGAACAGGAUUAGAAACCCGUGUAGUCC
rnacentral:rRNA from 1 species